rnacentral:rRNA from 1 species
CCUACGGGAGGCAGCAGUGAGGAAUAUUGGUCAAUGGGCGAGAGCCUGAACCAGCCAAGUCGCGUGAGGGAGUACUGCCCUAUGGGUUGUAAACCUCUUUUGUCGGGGAGCAAAAGCCGGACGUGUCCGGCUGUGAGAGUACCCGAAGAAAAAGCAUCGGCUAACUCCGUGCCAGCAGCCGCGGUAAUACGGAGGAUGCGAGCGUUAUCCGGAUUUAUUGGGUUUAAAGGGUGCGCAGGCGGAUUUUUAAGUCAGCGGUAAAAUCGUGGGGAUAAACCCCAUCCAGCCGUUGAAACUGGGGAUCUAGAGUGUGCGAGAGGUAUGCGGAAUGCGUGGUGUAGCAGUGAAAUGCAUAGAUAUCACGCAGAACCCCGAUUGCGAAGGCAGCAUACCGGUGCACAACUGACGCUCAGGCACGAAAGCGUGGGUAUCGAACAGGAUUAGAUACCCUAGUAGUC